rnacentral:rRNA from 1 species
AUUGAACGCUGGCGGCAUGCUUUACACAUGCAAGUCGAGCGGCAGCGCGUCCGACCACCCUCGGGUGGUCGGAUGGCGGCGAGCGGCGGACGGGUGAGGAAUGCAUCGGAAUCUGCCUCGUUGUGGGGGAUAACGUAGGGAAACUUACGCUAAUACCGCAUACGACCUACGGGUGAAAGUGGGGGACCUUCGGGCCUCACGCGAUGAGAUGAGCCGAUGCCGGAUUAGCUAGUUGGCGGGGUAAAGGCCCACCAAGGCGACGAUCCGUAGCUGGUCUGAGAGGAUGAUCAGCCACACUGGAACUGAGACACGGUCCAGACUCCUACGGGAGGCAGCAGUGGGGAAUUUUGGACAAUGGGCGCAAGCCUGAUCCAGCCAUGCCGCGUGCGGGACGAAGGCCUCGGUUGUAACCGACUUCUAGCCGGAAGAAAUACGCCGUUUUAAUUACUAGACGGUGGAGUGACGGUACCGGAACGAAGAAGAC